CCCCCCCCCCCCCCCCGUCCUCGUGCCGCGCCCGCCCCUCGCCCACUCCUCCGAUCCGGAUCUAGAUCUAGCGCAAGGUCGGGCUCGGCCUCGGCCCAGGCUCCCGCCGCGGCGUCGGUGGGCGACGGGCUCUUCGCGGACUACAAGGCCACGACCACUUUCAUCUUCUCCGGCCACGACGUCGCAGGCACGUCCCAGUAGUUAGCUAGCUUUGCGUCAUCCAUUCACUGCAUUGAGGAACGGACUCUGCUGGACUCAUCUGGACUGGUUGUAGAAGGGGUCAAGGGCCACUGCUGAACUCUGAACACAUCCGUCGGUCCAUCCCCUCGAAAAGAGAUGGGCCGUGGGCUUGGCUAAAGCCGCAAGCAAGCCCCCUCCUCUUCGUCGGCGGCCGCUACCUCCCCGCUCCCACAAUCUGCCGCGCCGCCGCUGUCCCGGCCAACUUCCUCCUCCCGAGGCGGCGGUCGCCUCGCGCGGAAUCUUCG